rnacentral:rRNA from 1 species
AGAGUUUGAUCAUGGCUCAGAUUGAACGCUGGCGGCAUGCCUUACACAUGCAAGUCGAGCGGCAGCGCGGGGGCAACCCUGGCGGCGAGCGGCGAACGGGUGAGUAAUACAUCGGAACGUGUCCAGUAGUGGGGGAUAACCAGUCGAAAGAUUGGCUAAUACCGCAUACGAUCUACGGAUGAAAGCGGGGGACCGCAAGGCCUCGCGCUAUUGGAGCGGCCGAUGUCCGAUUAGCUAGUUGGCGGGGUAACGGCCCACCAAGGCGACGAUCGGUAGCUGGUCUGAGAGGAUGAUCAGCCACACUGGAACUGAGACACGGUCCAGACUCCUACGGGAGGCAGCAGUGGGGAAUUUUGGACAAUGGGCGCAAGCCUGAUCCAGCCAUGCCGCGUGAGUGAAGAAGGCCUUCGGGUUGUAAAGCUCUUUCGGCGGGGACGAAACGGUCCGUGACAACACCACGGACUAAUGACGGUACUCGCAGAAGAAGCACCGGCUAACUACGUGCCAGCAGCCGCGGUA